rnacentral:rRNA from 1 species
CCAGACUCCUACGGGAGGCAGCAGUGAGGAAUAUUGGUCAAUGGGCGGGAGCCUGAACCAGCCAAGUCGCGUGAGGGAAGACGGUCCUACGGAUUGUAAACCUCUUUUGCCGGGGAGCAACGGGGUCCUUGCGAGGGCCCGAUGAGAGUACCCGGAGAAAAAGCAUCGGCUAACUCCGUGCCAGCAGCCGCGGUAAUACGGAGGAUGCGAGCGUUAUCCGGAUUUAUUGGGUUUAAAGGGUGCGCAGGCGGAUUUUUAAGUCAGCGGUCAAAUCGUGGGGCUCAACCCCAUCCAGCCGUUGAAACUGGGGAUCUAGAGUGUGCGGGAGGUAUGCGGAAUGCGUGGUGUAGCGGUGAAAUGCGUAGAUAUCAGGAGGAACACCGGCGGCGAAGGCGGCCUGCUGGACCGCGACUGACGUUGAGGCUCGAAAGCGUGGGGAGCGAACAGGAUUAGAUACCCCUGUA